rfam:Oryza sativa (indica cultivar-group) chromosome 2, whole genome shotgun sequence.
AAUGUAUGAUGCCGUUGAUCUUUCGACAAACGUUUGACCUUUCGUCUUAUUCAAAAAAAUUAUGUAAUUAUAAUUUAUUUUAUUGUGACUUGAUUUAUCAUCAAAUAUUUUUUAAGCAAGACAUAAGUAUUUUUAUAUUUGCAUAAAAAAUUUGAAUAAGACGAGUGGUCAAACGUUGGUCAAAAAGUCAACGGCGUCAUACAUU